CCUUAGGUAGUUUAUUAAAAUAUAGCAUUGAAGCUGCUAAGAUGGUCUUCUGGCCUCUAGGGA
rnacentral:tRNA from 1 species